rnacentral:rRNA from 1 species
AUUGAACGCUGGCGGCAGGCUUAACACAUGCAAGUCGAACGGUAACAGGAAAUAGCUUGCUAUUUUGCUGACGAGUGGCGGACGGGUGAGUAAUGCUUGGGAAUUUACCUUGUUGUGGGGGACAACAGUUGGAAACGACUGCUAAUACCGCAUAAUGUCUACGGACCAAAGGUGGCCUCUAUUUAUAUGCUAUCGCGACAAGAUGAGCCCAAGUGGGAUUAGCUAGUUGGUAAGGUAAUGGCUUACCAAGGCGACGAUCCCUAGCUGGUCUUAGAGGAUGACCAGCCACACUGGAACUGAGACACGGUCCAGACUCCUACGGGAGGCAGCAGUGGGGAAUAUUGCACAAUGGAGGAAACUCUGAUGCAGCCAUGCCGCGUGUGUGAAGAAGGCUUUCGGGUUGUAAAGCACUUUCAGCGAGGAGGAAAG